rnacentral:rRNA from 1 species
GCAGUCGAACGAAGCAAUUUAGCGGAAGUUUUCGGAUGGAAGUUAGAUUGACUGAGUGGCGGACGGGUGAGUAACGCGUGGGUAACCUGCCUCACACUGGGGGACAACAGUUAGAAAUGACUGAUAAUACCGCAUAAGCGCACAGGACCGCAUGGUCCGGUGUGAAAAACUCCGGUGGUGUGAGAUGGACCCGCGUUUGAUUAGCUAGUUGGUGGGGUAACGGCCUACCAAGGCGACGGUCAAUAGCCGACCUGAGAGGGUGACCGGCCACAUUGGGACUGAGACACGGCCCAAACUCCUACGGGAGGCAGCAGUGGGGAAUAUUGCACAAUGGGGGAAACCCUGAUGCAGCGACGCCGCGUGAGUGAAGAAGUAUUUCGGUAUGUAAAGCUCUAUCAGCAGGGAAGAAAAUGACGGUACCUGACUAAGAAGCCCCGGCUAACUACGUGCCAGCAGCCGCGGUAAUACGUAGGGGGCAAGCGUUAUCCGGAUUUACUGGGUGUAAAGGGAGCGUAGACGGUAAAGCAAGUCUGAAGUGAAAGCCCGGGGCUCAACCCCGGGACUGCUUUGGAAACUGUUUAACUAGAGUGCUGGAGAGGUAAGCGGAAUUCCUAGUGUAGCGGUGAAAUGCGUAGAUAUUAGGAGGAACACCAGUGGCGA